UACGUAGGUGACAAGCGUUGUCCGGAUUUACUGGGCGUAAAGAGCGCGCAGGCGGUCGUUCAAGUCGAGUGUGAAAGCCCCCGGCUCAACUGGGGAGGGUCAUUCGAUACUGAUCGACUCGAAGGCAGGAGAGGGAAGUGGAAUUCCCGGUGUAGUGGUGAAAUGCGUAGAUAUCGGGAGGAACACCAGUGGCGAAGGCGGCUCACUGGCCCGAUACUGACGCUGAGGCACGAAAGCGUGGGGAGCAAACAGG
rnacentral:rRNA from 1 species